rnacentral:rRNA from 1 species
GAUUUAAUAAUUGAAGGGCUGCAGUAUAUUGACUGUACAAAGGUAGCAUAAUCAUUAGUCAUUUAAUUGAUGACUUGUAUGAAGGAUUGGAUGAGAUAUAAUCUGUCUCUUAAUUAAUAGGUAGAAUUUAAUUUUUUAAUUAAAAAGUUAAAAUAAUUUAAAAAGACGAGAAGACCCUAUAGAGUUUUAUAGGUAAAUUAAUUAAGAUUAUUUAAAUAAUUUAAAAUUAAAAUUAAAUUAUUUAUUUUAUUGGGGUGAUAGAAAAAUAUAUUUAACUUUUUUUUUAAUUUAACAUUUAUAAGUGGUUAGAUGAUCCAAUAUUAUUGAUUAUAAGAAAUAAUUACCUUAGGGAUAACAGCGUAAUUUUUUUUUUUAGUUCAUAUAAGAAAAAGAGUUUGCGACCUCGAUGUUGGAUUAAGAUAAAAUUUAAAUGCAGAAG